rnacentral:rRNA from 1 species
AGGACGAACGCUGGCGGCGUGCUUAACACAUGCAAGUCGAACGGGGAUUAAGUUGGAAAGGCUUCGGCCCGGAAGAUUAAUUCGAGUGGCGGACGGGUGAGUAACGCGUGAGCAACCUGUCCCAGACAGGGGGAUAACACUUGGAAACAGGUGCUAAUACCGCAUAAGACCACGGCAUCACAUGGUGCAGGGGUAAAAGGAGCAAUCCGGUUUGGGGUGGGCUCGCGUCCGAUUAGAUAGUUGGUGAGGUAACGGCCCACCAAGUCAACGAUCGGUAGCCGACCUGAGAGGGUGAUCGGCCACAUUGGAACUGAGAGACGGUCCAAACUCCUACGGGAGGCAGCAGUGGGGAAUAUUGGGCAAUGGGCGAAAGCCCUGACCCAGCAACGCCGCGUGAGUGAAGAAGGCCUUCGGGUUGUAAAGCUCUGUUAUGUGGGACGAAGGAAGUGACGGUACCACAUAAGGAAGCCCCGGCUAACUACGUGCCAGCCGCGGC